rnacentral:rRNA from 1 species
GGGACACGUGGUAUCCUGUCUGAAUAUGGGGGGACCAUCCUCCAAGGCUAAAUACUCCUGACUGACCGAUAGUGAACCAGUACCGUGAGGGAAAGGCGAAAAGAACCCCGGCGAGGGGAGUGAAAAAGAACCUGAAACCGUGUACGUACAAGCAGUGGGAGCACGCUUAGGCGUGUGACUGCGUACCUUUUGUAUAAUGGGUCAGCGACUUAUAUUCUGUAGCAAGGUUAACCGAAUAGGGGAGCCGAAGGGAAACCGAGUCUUAACUGGGCGUUAAGUUGCAGGGUAUAGACCCGAAACCCGGUGAUCUAGCCAUGGGCAGGUUGAAGGUUGGGUAACACUAACUGGAGGACCGAACCGACUAAUGUUGAAAAAUUAGCGGAUGACUUGUGGCUGGGGGUGAAAGGCCAAUCAAACCGGGAGAUAGCUGGUUCUCCCCGAAAGCUAUUUAGGUAGCGCCUCGUGAAUUCAUCUCCGGGGGUAGAGCACUGUUUCGGCAAGGGGGUCAUCCCGACUUACCAACCCGAUGCAAACUGCGAAUACCGGAGAAUGUUAUCACGGGAGACACACGGCGGGUGCUAACGUCCGUCGUGAAGAGGGAAACAACCCAGACCGCCAGCUAAGGUCCCA